rnacentral:rRNA from 1 species
AGGUUCCAAGGGUUGGGCUGUUCGCCCAUUAAAGCGGUACGCGAGCUGGGUUCAGAACGUCGUGAGACAGUUCGGUCCCUAUCUGUCGUGGGCGUAGGAGAUUUGAGGGGGGCGGUCCCUAGUACGAGAGGACCGGGACGGACGCACCUCCGGUGGACCGGUUGUCACGCCAGUGGCACAGCCGGGUAGCCGCGUGCGGAUUGGAUAAGCGCUGAAAGCAUCUAAGCGCGAAGCCAUCCCCAAGAUGAGAUCUCCCACAGGGUAACCUGGUAAGACCCCUUGCAGAUGACGAGGUUGAUAGGCCGGAUGUGUAAGCGCAGCAAUGCGUUGAGCUGACCGGUACUAAUAGGUCGAGGGCUUGACCUCAA